CAAAGGCAUGGUCCUGACCUUAUUAUCAGCUCUAGCCCAACUUACACAUGCAAGUAUCCGCACCCCCGUGAGUAUGCCCUCGACCCCCCGCCCGGGGGUCAGGAGCGAGCAUCAGGCACACAUCAUUAUAGCCCAAGACGCCCAGCCAAGCCACACCCCCAAGGGAAUUCAGCAGUGAUAAAUAUUAAGCCAUGAGUGAAAGCUCGACUCAGUCAGGGCUAACAGGGCCGGUAAAACUCGUGCCAGCUACCGCGGUUAUACGAGGAGGCCCCAGUAA
rnacentral:rRNA from 1 species